UGCAGUCGCACGAGAACGCUUCAGCUUGCUGAAGUAAGUAAAGUGGCGCACGGGUGAGUAACGCGUGGGUAAUCUACCCUUGAAUUGGGGAUAACCCGCCGAAAGGCGGGCUAAUACCGAAUGACAUCUUGAAAAUUUAUGUUUUCAGGAUUAAAGGUGGCCUCUACAUGUAAGCUACUGUUUGGGGAUGAGCCCGCGUACCAUUAGCUUGUUGGUAGGGUAAUGGCCUACCAAGGCUACGAUGGUUAGCUGGUCUGAGAGGAUGAUCAGCUACACUGGAACUGACACACGGUCCAGACUCCUACGGGAGGCAGCAGUGAGGAAUUUUGCGCAAUGGGGGAAACCCUGACGCAGCAACGCCGCGUGAGUGAUGAAGGCUUUCGGGUCGUAAAGCUCUGUCAAGUGGGAAGAAUCCAUAUGGUGUUAAUACUGCCAUAUGCUGACGGUACCACUGAAGGAAGCACCGGCUAACUCCGUG
rnacentral:rRNA from 1 species